GAAUUAUGAGAGUGAUUUAUGAAAGAAAGACAGUGGAGAAUUGCAAUCGAUGGAGACAUUCAAAGAAAAGACUUUGGCACUACAUCAAAAGAGAGUAGAAUAAAUGACGAAACUAAAGCACAAAGAGAUUAAAGAACUUAUCCAAGGUCAUGCAGCUGGAAAGAAGUGGAUUUGGGAUUGUGAACAUCACAAUUUCACAAACUACAUUUCAUGAUGGGUAGAGCUAGUCAAACGUCUGAAAAUAAAGUUUGGUUUAAAGAUGA
ensembl:lncRNA novel transcript